AGUAAACAUGAAUCGUUCACGUUCAUAGUUCACCAUUUAAAUUCUGAACUAGUUCAUAGUUCAGUUCAUUUUCAUUUUUUUUUUAUUAUUAUUGCUAAUUUUUCAGGAGGACAUAAUUUGCACAGAAAGGUGAGAUUUUUACUGUCGGAAACUUUAUCAGACACCCCGCACAUAAUAAUAAGGUGGAUCGGAUGUAGGCCUACUCGCUGAGUCUGCGUCUCUGUUUUCGCUUUCACUUGCCAUUUUUAUAUUGACACCGAGAUGACACCGGCUGUUGCCUUGGAAUACGUUGCUUGUUUGGUAUACAUGUGUGUGCGAUGAUUCAUUGGUAAUGUAGGGCGAAGUGGAGUUAGUUGGUUUAGGUAUCGCAGAAAUUAUACGGGUACUGUUAUAGAGGGGGUUCGGGAAAUGUGUAAUCACUGAGGGUCAUCCGAUUAGAAUGGAAAAGAAUGGAGACUUGGAGAUUCAGUUUGAUUCUUCACUCUUUGUAUUGCAUUAACAAACUAGAGGAGAAGAAUAAAGAGAUGGAGAAGACAAAGCAACAACUAGAGGAGAAGAAUAAAGAGAUGGAGAAGACAAAACAACAACAAGAGGAGAAGAAUAAAAAGAUGGAGAAGACAAAACAAUAACUAGAGGAAAAAGAUGGAGAAAACAAAACAAGAACUAGAGGAAAUGUCACGAUCUGAGCCAGAUCCAUGUUUUCUAUGUCAUGUGCCCCAUGUCGUGUGUGUGUGUGCUCUCUCUCUCUCCCUCUCUCUCCCCGCUUCAGGUUUGCCAUGCUUAACUCACUGACUCUUCCAGGUGCCUGGUCUAACACACCUGUGGCUAAUUGGACCUCAUCUCUUCCCUGUGCCUGGCCUAACACUCCUGUUGCUAAUGAAGCCUCGUUUCUUCCCUGUGCCUGGGUCACACACCUGUGUCUAAUUGGACCUCAUCAGUGCCUGUGUUAAACCGUGCUCUGAAGAACAUUCAGUGCUGGAUUAUCUCUUCGCUUACCUGGACACCUUUCUUGCCAUGUUUUCCUAUUGCAUUUUUCCUGCCUGUCUGUUUUUGCCUGGAUUCCUUUGGAUUUUGGAUUUAACCCUUUGUGGGUUUUAUUGGACUGCUUUGGACUGUGCAUCUAGCCCUGGCCUGUGUUUUUAUGUUUCUGUCUUAUGCUGCCUGCCAUGCCUCGUUGAGAUCCCCAUGUUUUGUAUCUUCUGAGCUUUGCUGUUUUUUUCUGUUUGAUCUCCUGCCUCUGUUUUUUUGAAGACAUUCAUACUGCUGAAAGGUUUAUUAAAAUACUCAUUUUGAAGAUACUUUGUUGCCUUUGUCUGCCUUUGGUUCCAAACCUGUUUUACUCGGUCUCAGCCACCGUGUGUGUGUGUGUGUGUGUGUGUGUGUGUGUGUGUUAAUCCUGUGUUUAUGAAACAUGGCGGGUGUAAAGGUGGCCACGCCAGGACGGUGCUGGGAUACUGUGUGAGAGAGGAUAAGAGAGGGAUGGAGGGAGGGAGAGGAAGAGAGAGGAAGGGAGAGAGGAAGGUAGAGGGAUGGAGAGGGAUAGAUAGAUAGAGGGAGAGAGAGCAAAGUGUCUCCGUAGAGAUUGUGUUUCAGGAAUGCAGGGG
rnacentral:lncRNA from 1 species